UUUUAUUUUAUGACAGUCAUAGAGGUAAUAACUGUCAUUAAUUAACAAUUCUGUAUGGUCUGCUAUACUUUGUAUAAUCUAACUUAGAACUGAAUAAAUCUAAUAAAUAAUGCAUCAUUGCAUCGAUAAGAUAGAAGAAGAUAUUUAUGUUAGAAUUUCCAUGUAAUCAUGACUGACUUAGAAAAAGAUCAACUGUAAAGGUGAACGUCGUACAUAAUCAUAAAUUUAUAAGUCUAUGCACACGACGCAUUAUUCUUCUUUCAUUCGAAACGAUGACCUCGUAAGAUAAAUAAGAUCAUAUUUCUAUUUUUGUGAGUAGCAUAACAAGUAUCAUUAUUGUAAUCUGGUCAUAAACAAUGAUUCUAAUGAAUGGUUUUCCUAUAAUUUUAUACAAAAUUGUGAGUCACGAUGCAUUGGAAAUGUAAAUACUACAUUAGAAGUUCUCUAUAGUAUUAUUAGUAGAUUAUCAAAUUGAAUGUAUUUAUGAAAAAUGUAUUAUUCGAAUUAUGAAUGAUUCAAGUAGAAAACUUAUACCAAAGAAAUUCAAACGGAAAUUAUGUGGAAAAUUAUGUAACUUUUAUCUGACUAAAAGUCCUUAGAAACUCAUCGUUGUAAGUUAUAAAAUUGCUCUGACAAAUUCACAAAUUAGUCAAAUUGAUCGUUCUGGUAGCUGUAAUAUUAUUACGCAAAAAUGUAUAAAAAAUUCGGCUUUUAGUUAAUAUUUGAUAAAUGAAACAAAUUUCUGCUUGGAUUGUGAUAAAUAUUCUUAAAAAUUGAAAUUUGUAUAGACAUGCACAGUAAUUAGUACGAUUGCUGCUAUUGUAUGGUGAUUUUUGAUAAAUACCUAGUAUCUUAUCACCAUUGAAGAGGUUGUCGAACUGCAAGUUGAUUCGAGCAGGACUGAAUUUCACUCCGUAUUUCUUGAUUUUCAAGUAAGUCUCUCCGUUCUUUUCAUAUUUCUCGCAGGAUAUUUCGUUAUGCGAUUUCAAGUCAUCUAAAUAUUUGCAUAAAAAUAAUGAUUGAAAAAACAUUAUUCGUUAUUUAUAUUUAUCAUUUAAACGCAAUAGACAUAGAUUUCUAUAGAUACAGGAAGAAAUACAAAUCCUAAAAAACGGAGAAAAGAGAAGAAAAUAUGAAUAAAAGGAAUUACAAAGAUGGGAAUAGACGAAAAUUCAAUUUUUAUAUUUUUGAAACGAAUUGAUGUCGAAGAGAUAGAUUUCUAAAGAAGCGAAGAAGAAGAGGUCGUGAGGAAUUUGAAAACGUCGUUUAUCAUCUACAAUGUUAAGUUUUUUAAAUUAUAAGAUAUAAGUAGAUAAUAUAUCAGCAAAAAUAUAUUUACACAUGGUGAUGUUUGAUCUUCCAGAUCCUUUCACAGGCAAGAGUAACACUUUUCCUUCGAUCUUGUAAUCGGCGACGAAGUCUACUUGCGGAUUGAUCGAAUCAGACGUCAAUAAACAUCCAUUAUCCACAUCUAAGCUAAAAAACGAGCGUUAUCGUUAACCAUCGCCUUGUAUCGAAUUGUAAGUUUCAUGUCAACAUUGUAUUUUUCCUCAAUGCGUAUAACGUUUUUUUUUUUCUUUAUUUACUGACUAUUUUGCAAUUUAUGGAAAAAUAUUUCAUCUCGUUUAAAAGAUUAUGCGUUUAUUAUCAUUUACGAUGUAAUGUAACUUCGAUACACGUUUCGUGCAAUAUCUGAUAGAACAAUCUACCGAAUUAUAUUUUGACACGUUCUUGAAUUUUUCUAGUUUUUCUACUUUCAAUAUCACUAAGUCUGUAUAUACUCUCAUCAGUUUAGAAUAAAUCCUUUUAUUGGUUCGAUUUUUUCGAGUUCAAGUUUGAUUUUAACGAACAGGACACAACUUUCAAUUUCUACCAGGCGUUUCUUUCUCUUUUUUCUUGUUACUUUAUUGUGCAUCGUACCGGUUCUGCCCAUAUUUGGCCGAUUCUUAUAAUCCUAGCACAUGAUACAUUUCUUUCCUUAAAUUAUUAUGCAACCGUUCUACUGUGCUUACUUAUUUUUAUUCGAUUAAACUUGUUUACCAAAAAGUCAAUGCAAUUCUCCAUAAUAUUAUAUAUAGUACAAUUUUUUCAUUAUGAAUCGACUAACGUAAUUUCUAAUAACCAAGCCCAUUAAACGUACUUAUUCUGCUAAACGUCACGAAGGAGAAGUUCGUUCGCCGUAAAAUAUUUUCUAAUUCUCGGAAAGCAAUUAAUUGUCUAAUUAUUGAAUAUCAAAUAAAGCAAGCCUUUUUUCAACUUA